CCUUCUACGGCAUCGCUGUUCUGGGAGAGGGAAGUGGCGCGCGUGAGCGGGAAGUGUUUCCGGGACGGAGUCCGAGACGAGUGUGUCUGCUGUAAACAGAAAGUGGAGCGAGAGGCUCAAAAUAACGUGAUAUGGUUCCAAACACAAGCUCUUCUCAUAGAAUACAUUUCCAUAUUGCUUACCCCUGAGAGAACAGCCGGUUGUGUUGGCUCCCUGUGACCGUGUCUGCAAACAACCCUGACCCUGGUACACCUGACUGAGCAGAGAAGGUUCAUUUCAGAUAUGUGUAUAUACACCCCAAUGGCUCAAGCUGCAUCCACACCAAGAACGGCACAACUCCGCCCAAUAUUGGAACUUCCGCUCUAAGGACUCCUGACCCCCUGAAAUGCCACAUUUGGGUACAGAGCUGCACGAUUCUGGCUAAAAUGAGAAUUGC